UACGUAGGGGGCAAGCGUUGUCCGGAUUUAUUGGGCGUAAAGAGCGUGUAGGCGGCCGUACAGGUCAGCUGUGAAAACUCGAGGCUCAACCUCGAGACGUCGGUUGAAACCGUACGGCUAGAGUCCGGAAGAUGAGAGUGGAAUUCCCGGUGUAGCGGUGAAAUGCGCAGAUAUCGGGAAGAACACCCGUGGCGAAGGCGGCUCUCUGGGACGGUACUGACGCUGAGACGCGAAAGCGUGGGGAGCGAACAGG
rnacentral:rRNA from 1 species